CCGGAAGGUGCGGCUGGAUCACCUCCUUUCUAAGGAGCAACUGGCGCGCUCGCCGAGAUAAUCGGGGAUGUGCGUCCAGGACCAUUUCUCGGACGAAUGAGCCGGGGUGGUCGCUCGUUAGUGGAGCACUGGUUAUUCGGUUCGGGCUGCUGCCCGGGCUGGUUAGUACGCCCGCUGGGCGGCUGCGCAAGCAGCUGCUCGCGCAGCGGGACGGAAAGCUGGCCAGGGAGUCGUCCGGGCCGAGCACGCUGUUGGGUCCUGAGGGAACGGCCGCCAGUCGGCCUGACCUCGACUAGGACCGGGUCCCCCGCCGCAAGGCGUCUGGGGUCCGGGACCGCCCGUAUCUUGAGAACUGCACAGUGGACGCGAGCAUCAUCUGUAGUUGCCAAGUUAAUAAGGGCACAC
rnacentral:sRNA from 1 species